rnacentral:lncRNA from 10 species
CCGCCUGCGAAGUGCUCCGCGGCCGGCGGAGACGCGGGCAGCCAGCGAUGGCCGCGGAGGGGGCGAACUGGGUUCCGGCCCUCGGAGGCUGACGGAAGGCGGUGGCUGAGGAGCGGCGCCUCUGGUUGAGCGCUCGCCGUGUGUCCCGCACCUGUCUGUCCUGCCGCCGCCCGGUAAGGUAGGAAAGGUCAGCGCGCCGGGGUUACGGGUACAGAACCUGGGUUCGAAUCCCGGCCCCGACGUUUCCGCACUACGUGCCGUUGGGCAGGAGCUGACGUCACCUUGCCGGGCCUCAGUUUCCUUCUCUGGUGCGCUGAGGAGGCGGGGCAUGGAACGUGGUCAGCGCUUCAUCGGUGCUGGCUCUUUGAGCAAGCCAGUUCCCGAAGGCUCAGCAUCUCAUUCAUUCAUUAAAAUGUCAUUGAGCGCCUACUGUGUGUCAAUCACUGUAUGGGCAGUGAGCAGAAAAAAAAUACCUGGUCUUAUUGGGCUAACAUUCUAAACCAGCGCUGGCCUAGAAUGCCCUAGUAGAAAUACAUGCAAGCUACAUGUUUAAUUUUUUUUUAUGUAAAGAUGGGCUCUGGUUCUGUUGCCCAGGCUGGUCUCGAACUCCUGGACUCAAGCGAUUCUCCUGCCUCCGCCUCCCAAAGAGCUGGGAUUACAGGCAUGCCUGCACUCUGCCUAAUUUUUUCUUUUUUUUUUUUAUGAUCUGAAAAUAAUAGUCUUUUUAUUUUUAUUUAUUUAUUUAUUUAUUUGAGACGGAGACUCGCUCUGUCGCCAGGCUGGAGUGCAGUGGCGUGAUCUCCGCUCACUGCAACCUCCGCUUCCCAGGUUCAAGCGAUUCUCCUGCCUCAGCCUCCUAAGUAGUUGGGCCUACAGGCGCUGCGCCACCACAACCAGCUAAUUUUUGUAUUUUUAGUAGAGACGGGGUUUCACCGUGUUGGCCAUGAUGAUCUGUAUCUCUUGACCUCGUGAUCUGCCCGCCUCAGCCUCCCAAAGUGCUGGGAUUACAGGCUUGAGCCACUGCGCCUGGCCUACAAUUUUGUUUUUCUUUUUUUUUUUUUUUUUUUGAGACAGGAUCUCACUCUGUCACCCAAUUUGGAGUGCGGUGGUAUGAUCACAGCUAACUGCAGCCUCAACUUCCCCAGCUCAGGCAAUCAAUCCUCCGGCUUCAGAUUCCUGAGUAGCUUAGACUACAGGAUGUGCCACUAUGCCUGGCUAAUGUUUUAUUUUUUUGUAGCGAUGAGGUCUUGCUGUAUUGCCUAGGCUGGUCUCAAACUUCUAGACUUAAGUGAUCCUCCUGCUUUGGCCUCCCAAAGUGUUGGGAUUACAGGCGGGAGCCACGGUGCCCAGCCUGUUUCUUUUUUUAAUCAUAUUUUCUUAGAAGUUUUUUUUUUUUUUUUUUUUUUUUUUGGAGACAGGGUCUCACUCUGCUGUGCAGGCUGGAAUGCAGUGGUGUGAUCUCAGCUCACUGCAACCUCUGCCUCCCUAUUCAAGUGAUUCUCGUGCCUCAGCCUCCCAAGUAGCUGGGAUCACAGGCGUGCAACAUCACACCCAGCUAAUUCUUGUGGUUUUAGUAGAGAUGGGGUUUUGCCAUGUUGGCCAGGCUGGUCUCAAACUCCUGGCCUCAAGUGAUCCACCCACCUCGGCCUCCCAAAGUGCUGGGAUUACAGGCAUGAGCCACCACCCGGCCUAGGAAAGCUUUUUAGAGAUUGGGUCUCACUGUGUUGCCCAGGCUGGAGUGCAGUGGCUGUUCACAGGUGCAAUCAUCCCACAGGUUUAACUCCUGACCUCAAGCAGUCCUUCUGCCUCAGGCUCCCAAGUAGCUGGGAUUAUAGGCACGUGCCACCACACCUAGCUCAAUUAAAUGUUAAAUUUAACAUUUAAUUGUUAAAUUUUAUAGUAGCCAGCAUUCUGGGUCAUCACGGUGCAAUAGAAGUAUAAACAAAGCAGGCCAGGCACAGUAGGUCACGCCUGUAAUCCCAGCACUUUGGGAGGCCGAGGCGGGCAGAUCACCAGGUCAGUAGUUCGAGACCAGCCUGGCCAACAUGUUGAAACCCCAGUCUCUACUAAAAAUACAAAAAUUAGCUGGACGUGGUGGCAGGAGCCUGUAAUCCCAGCUACUCGGGAGGCUGAGGCAGGAGAAUCGCUUGAAACUGGAAAGUGGAGGUUGCAGUGAGCCGAGAUCCCGCCACUGCACUCCAGCCUAGGUGAAAGAGGGAAAUUACAUCUCAAAAAAACAGUAUAAGCAAGCCACAGAUUUGUCAGCGAGGUAUGUAAUUUAAAUUGGUACAUUGUUAGCCAUGUUUAAAAAUAAGUAAAAAGAAACGGGUGAUGUUAGUUGUAAUGUGUUUUAUUUAACUCAGUAGGUUGAAUAUGUUAUUAUUUAAACAUGUAGUCAAUAUUUUAAAAUACAGGAUGUUUUGCAUCUGUUAUCUUUCCAAAAUAGAAGAUACUUUGUGUCCUUUUUCUUUCCUGCAUGCUUUUUUUUUCUUAUUUUUUUGAGACAGAGUCUCACUCUGUUGCCAAGGCUGGAGUGCAGUGGCGGGAUCUCGGCUAACUGCAACCUCCCCAUCCCGGGUUCAAGCGAUUCUCCUGCCUCAGCCUCCCGAGUAGCUGCGAUUACAGACAUUUGCCACCAUGCCCGGCACAGCACAGCACCGCACAUCUCCAGUCGGACUGGCUACAUUUCAAGGGCUCAACCAUCACGCGUUACCAGUGGCUACUGCAUCAGACUGUGCAGUGCUAGAUGGGGAGUCAGAAGAGAAACCAAGUGAUUUCCAUGUCAAGUGGUGAACAGGCUAAGAAGAAAAGUAAAUUGGGGAAAGAGCAUGGGGAAUGUGGGGGUUGCUGUUUGAAAGAGGAUGGUUGGGAAGGCUGAAGAGCUGUCAUUCGCAGAGGGACCCAAAAGAGCCUACUCCGAGUGAAGAUGAUGAAGAUGAAGACCGUUAUGAUCCACUUCCACUUAAUGAAAGAUGAAUAUAUUUUCUCUUCCUAAUGAUUUUUUUUUUUUUUUUUUUGGAGACAGAGUCUCGCUGCAUCCCCCAGGCUGGAGUACAGUGGUAUGAUCUUGGCUCACUGCAACCUCUGCCUCCUAGGUUCAAGUGAUUCUCCUGCCUCAGUCUCCCGAGUAGCUGGGAUUACAGGCGCCCACCACCAUGCCCGGCUAAUUUUUGUAUUUUUAGUAGAGAUGGGGUUUCACUAUGUUGGCCAGGCUGGUCUCAAACUCCUGACCUCAGGUGAUCUGCCUGACUUGGCCUCCCAAAGUGCUGGGAUUACAGGCAUGAGCCACCUUGCCUGGCCUCUUCCUAAUGAUUUUUUAAAGUACAUCUUGUUUUCUCUGUCUUACUUUAUCAUAAAAAUAUAUGAUACAAAUAAAAUACAGAAUAUGUGUUAAUGGACUGUGUAUGUUAUGAGUAAGCCUUCCAGUCGACAGUGGGCUAUUAUUGGUGGUUAAGUUUUGGGGGAGUGUGUGUUCAAGGGUCAACCGCACUUCCUGAGGGCACUGUGAGAACUAAGUUAAAUAACCCACUUUUACAAUCUUUGGAACCGGGGGCAGGUGGCUGGGGCUCACACCUGUAAUUACAGCACUUUGGGAGGCUGAGGCAGGAAGAUCCCUUGAGGCCAAGAGUUUGAGACCAGCCUGGGCAACAAAGCAAGACUCUGUCUCUACAAAAAUUUU